ACGAAGUUCCCGUUGAUUGACGUGCUUGCACUGAUUUCAACAUUGGAACGAGUGGCGAACUGGUGAGUAACACGUGGAAAACCUUGCCCAGAAGCAGGGGAUAACACUUGGAAACAGGUGCUAAUACCGUAUAACAACAAAAACCGCAUGGUUUUUGUUUGAAAGGUGGCUUCGGCUAUCACUUCUGGAUGGUUCCGCGGCGCAUUAGCUUGUUGGUGGGGUAACGGCUCACCAAGGCGAUGAUGCGUAGCCGACCUGAGAGGGUAAUCGGCCACAUUGGGACUGAGACACGGCCCAGACUCCUACGGGAGGCAGCAGUAGGGAAUCUUCCACAAUGGACGCAAGUCUGAUGGAGCAAUGCCGCGUGAGUGAAGAAGGGUUUCGGCUCGUAAAACUCUGUUGUUGAAGAAGAACGGGUGUCAGAGUAACUGUUGACAUCGUGACGGUAUUCAACCAGAAAGCCACGGCUAACUACGUGCCAGCAGCCGCGGUAAUACGUAGGUGGCAAGCGUUGUCCGGAUUUAUUGGGCGUAAAGCGAGCGCAGGCGGUUUCUUAAGUCUGAUGUGAAAGCCUUCGGCUUAACCGAAGAAGUGCAUCGGAAACUGGGGAACUUGAGUGCAGAAGAGGACAGUGGAACUCCAUGUGUAGCGGUGGAAUGCGUAGAUAUAUGGAAGAACACCAGUGGCGAAAGCGGCUGUCUAGUCUGCAACUGACGCUGAGGCUCGAAAGCAUGGGUAGCGAACAGGAUUAGAUACCCUGGUAGUCCAUGCGUAACGAUGAGUGCUAGUGUUGAGGGUUUCGCCCUCAGUGCGCAGCUACGCAU
rnacentral:rRNA from 2 species